UACGUAGGGGGCAAGCGUUAUCCGGAUUUACUGGGUGUAAAGGGGGCGCAGACGGCAGCGCAAGCCAGGAGUGAAAGCCCGGGGCCCAACCCCGGGACUGCUCUUGGAACUGCGCGGCUGGAGUGCAGGAGGGGCAGGCGGAAUUCCUGGUGUAGCAGUGAAAUGCGUAGAUAUCAGGAGGAACACCGGUGGCGAAGGCGGCCUGCUGGACUGCGACUGACGUUGAGGCCCGAAAGCGUGGGGAGCAAACAGG
rnacentral:rRNA from 1 species